GUCGCGCGUGGCCGGGAGAAGCUGACAACAUUGUAUCCCCGGGGCUGCUCGAUGGAACGUUGCAGAGUUGAGCGUUCCAUUCCGCUCAGAACUUUCGAGCCGCGGCCCGGGAUGCAGCGUUUGCUGAGUGGCGGGUGGUUGGUGCGGGGUAGCGGGCGGGGGCUAGCCAUGGCGGGCUUGCAUGGGACGGGAGGCAAAAGCCCAGAACAGAGGCACCCGCGGAGGAGGGGCUGCUAGCCCGGGUGCCGGUGGUGGCUGCCGCGGCGCCCACGGGGAACUCCAGCCGCAGCGGAGGGCUGACCUAGUAUCGCUGGCCGGGGGUUGUCGCGGAGCGGCUCAACGGCGACAAGCUGAACGGCUCAGGGGACCGCAGAGGCUGCGAGUUCCGCCGCCGCGAAGAUGACUCGGUCCACCCGUACCACCGCGGCUCCAGCGCCGACUACCGCAGGAGCAGCUUCGACAAGGGCCACCUGGCCGCCGGCAACCACAAGCGGAGCCAAGAAGCCAUGGGCGACACUUUCUACUUGAGCAACAUCGCCCCCCACCCCCAGGAAAGCACAUUGGCUGCAGUCAAAUUCACCUACAGCCCCGGAUCUCACCACAUUCAGGAACCGGUCCGGGUAUCCUGAGCACCCUUUCACCUCCCCAGUGCCGACGACCCACUGUUUGAACCCUAGACUUAAGGCUCUGCUGGGACCCGACAGUCACCUGUCCCUCGUGAAAGUGAAAGAAACAUGACUCUAAGACACACAUUUAAGAAGCGGCACCCAUGUUCUUAAAAAAGAAGAAAAAGAGCUGGCCAUUUUAUAAGAAGCUUGGCAGUACUGCAUUUCAUUAGGGCCUCCUUUGCAUUUCAAAGGACAAGUCGUUCAACCACCUCACCUCCUAAGCCCCAAUUGAGCAGAGACAGAUGUUGGUCCCUCACUUCUGGAGUCCGAUAGGGUUUCCCAGCAAGCCUUGGGGCUUCCCACGGCCCCAGGACUCCCUUGCGUGAAGCAAGCCGUUCCUCCAACUCUGCAGCAAGCUGGUGUUUAAAACCGGAGAGUCCUCCUUCUAAAAAACAAGAGGCAGCACCGUCAGCAGGUACAGUAGCCUCAAUUAGUCUCAGAUCUUAUGCAGCUCCUCUUCCCUCUGGCCGCUGGAAAGCAGAGUGGAGUUCAGUUGUUUCUACUAUCCAACAGCUUGUGUGCAUUUCCUGAUCUCCGGCAGGAAAUCGAGACGUAUGGGGAAAGUAGCCGUUCCGUUCAGCUGCUUUUCUUCGCCGCUUCGUUGAUCUUUGGUCUCAGCGCUGACAGGGAGAUGAGGAUCGCUUCCUAGAAAGCCACCCAAACAGCAAAUGUGAGAGACAAAACACACGCUCAAAAUGUUCGAGUUGGAAGGGUCCCUUAGAGGUCUUCUAAUCCACCCCCCUUCUCAGCACAAGAAACUACUAUAGCGCCUCGGACAGAUGCUUGUGCAGCCUCUGUUCGAAAACCUCCAGCAAAAGGAGAGCCCACUAUUGCAUGAGGCAGACAGUUCCACUGUCAAACGGCUCUUACAGUUCCGUUCUUCCUAAUGUCCAGCCCAAAUCUGCUUCCCUCUAAUUUCAACCCACAGGUUCUAACCCUCUACAGCGGCUCGUUCUGCUUCUCCUUCUAUGCAACAGCUUUUCAGAUAUUUGAAGACGGCUUCUAUCUCUCCCCUUAGUCUUCUAUCUACCCCUCAGCGGCCCACAAUAACCCAAUAAAUUUCAUGGCCUAGUGGCGGUUUGAA